UACAGAGGUCUCAAGCGUUGUUCGGAUUCAUUGGGCGUAAAGGGUGCGUAGGCGGCGCGGUAAGUCGGGUGUGAAAUCUCGGAGCUUAACUCCGAAACUGCAUUCGAUACUGCCGUGCUUGAGGACUGGAGAGGAGACUGGAAUUUACGGUGUAGCGGUGAAAUGCGUAGAUAUCGUAAGGAAGACCAGUAGCGGAGGCGGCUCGCUGGGCCGUUCCUGACGCUGAGACGCGAAAGCUAGGGGAGCGAACAGG
rnacentral:rRNA from 1 species